AUUAUUCUUUAAUAGAUUGGAUGGAUCAAGAGACUUCUCUGGAAGAAAGAAUCCACCUUUCUCUUCUCCCCAUGAGGAUAAGUGAAUGUUCAUAAUUUAUUAAAAUUAGCUCCUUGGUUUUAUUUUAUUGGUAAAGAAAAGAUUAGAAUGCACAGAUUUCUUUCCCCCUGGGAUCUAGCAGGUGGGAAGAAAAAAAAAGGAUAAUCAUCAUCCCAUCAAGUUAGCAGAAAACUGUGUCUACACAUCACCUAAGCAACCAGGACAAUUCUGCCAAAACACUCCUCAAUUCUGUGAAAAAAUUCAUCAGCUUUGUUAUUUGACAUGCUUUGGCCUUGUGCUUGCUUCUCCUGAUUGAAGGACUGAAUUUCUCAUUUUCUACAGCCUGUGUCGAGUGUCUGUAGACCUUAGUGAAGUGCCCAGAAAAUAGAUUUUCUUGACUCUGGGACUAAAUGGAGCGAACACCUGGUCCAGAUUUGCUCGGAACCUUCUUCUCUAAGCAACUAAUUCUUGGUGGAAACUAUUCUCAUACCAGGAUGUGUUCCGAGGAGGGAUUUCCGUCGCCACUGAAGCACAGAGAGACCUGGUGCCCAAAGAAGAAUGAAGGGAAGCGAGAGCCUGCGUGUGUCUCACGGUCAACAGCGAGGUCAGAAGCAUUCAUCCGGAAGGUAGUCAAAAGAACAAAACAAAAACAUAAACCUGCUCACUCAAACGCUGGAGCACCAAGGCUCUUCAAUGGAGCCGCUCCUUAGCCAAAUAUGCUGGAAAAAGGAUAUGAAAGAAUGGUGUGGGGGGAAUGAGUUCCAUGGGAGGAAGUUAGGGACAAGAAUACUUAGUGACCAAGUUGUGUGUGCGUGUGUGUGUGUGUGUGUGUGUGUGUGAGAGAGAGAGAGAGAGAGAGAGAGAGAGAGAGAGAGAGAGAGAGGAGGAGAAGCCAAGAUUCUUUUGUUGGGAAUGUUCUAAGUUUAAA